rnacentral:rRNA from 1 species
CCUACGGGAGACAGCAGUGGGGAAUAUUGGGCAAUGGGCGCAAGCCUGACCCAGCAACGCCGCGUGAAGGAAGAAGGCUCUCGGGUUGUAAACUUCUUUUAUCAGGGACGAAGCAAGUGACGGUACCUGAUGAAUAAGCCACGGCUAACUACGUGCCAGCAGCCGCGGUAAUACGUAGGUGGCAAGCGUUAUCCGGAUUUACUGGGUGUAAAGGGCGUGUAGGCGGGAAGGCAAGUCAGAUGUGAAAACCAUGGGCUCAACCUUGUGCCUGCAUUUGAAACUGUUUGUCUUGAGUACUGGAGAGGCAGACGGAAUUCGUGGUGUAGCGGUGAAAUGCGUAGAUAUUAGGAGGAACACCAGUGGCGAAGGCGGUCUGCUGGACAGCAACUGACGCUGAGGCGCGAAAGCGUGGGUAGCAAACAGGAUUAGAUACCCCUGUAGUC